rnacentral:rRNA from 1 species
UACGUAGGGGGCAAGCGUUGUUCGGAAUGACUGGGCGUAAAGGGUGCGUAGGCGGUGUAGCAAGUUAGAAGUGAAAUACCUAAAGCUUAACUCAGGUGCUGCUUCUAAAACUGCUAUACUUGAGUGCAGUAGAGGAAAGUGGAAUUCCUAGUGUAGCGGUGGAAUGCGUAGAUAUUAGGAGGAACAUCAGUGGCGAAGGCGACUUUCUGGACUGUAACUGACGCUGAGGCACGAAAGUGUGGGGAGCAAACAGG